UACGUAGGGGGCAAGCGUUGUUCGGAUUCAUUGGGCGUAAAGGGUGCGUAGGCGGCGCGGUAAGUCGGGUGUGAAAUCUCGGAGCUUAACUCCGAAACUGCAUUCGAUACUGCCGUGCUUGAGGACUGGAGAGGAGACUGGAAUUUACGGUGUAGCGGUGAAAUGCGUAGAUAUCGUAAGGAAGACCAGUGGCGAAGGCGGGUCUCUGGACAGUUCCUGACGCUGAGGCACGAAGGCCAGGGAGCAAACGGG
rnacentral:rRNA from 1 species